AGGUUGGAGACUUCAUAAGACUUUGACAGUUGGCGGGAAACCAUCAUCAACUGGAGAGAUGCCGGUAGAGGAAUGUCUGCGACUAAGUCAUGGGCCACUGGAUAAGGGUUGUUGAUGGCAAAACAGGUUGGAGACUACAUAAGACUUUGACAGUUGGCGGGAAACCAUCAUCAACUGGAGAGAUGCCGGUAAAAAGAUGGCCAUAAAACAGUGACCGCUGA